GGGUCAAGCAAUCCUCCCACCUCAGCUUCCCAAGUUUCUGAAAUUACAGAAGAAUCUUCCAUGAACAAAUAUUAUUCGGGUUAGAAAACUUUUAUCAGACGUUAUCUGGUUCCUUCAGCACUUCAUUGGUUUCUUUUCUUUUGUUGCUGUCUAGUACAUGAAAUUUAAUUUUCUUCAAUAAAAAGAUGGUAAUGUA